AUCAUGACCGGAGCUGAAGUCAAGAGUCUGAUGCCUAACCGACUGAGCCACCAAGGACUCCCACAUUUAUGAAGAAAUAUCAACGUGUGGUCUAAAAAUUGAAUUCAAGGAUCUUUGUUUAUGAAACUUCUCCAUGAAAAUAGGAAUCAUUGUGUCCUUUUGCUUUUUUCUCCAUUGCUGAAUCCUUGGUAUUAGACCUGUGCUUGACUCAUGGAAGGACAGAACUGGUUCAGACCCCCAUGUCUGCCUGGAGCACCCCAGCGACCUCCUGUACCCACUUCAAUACUCUGGAAUAUGCAUUGACAGCUCUGACUAGCUCUAAGCUGGAGUUCACAGCCUGGACACAAAGCAGUGAAGUGUUCCUCUUAGACAGGACCUGUGAAAGCAGAUCGGAAGCCGCUAAGAUAAAAGGCUGUUGGCGGAACUCAGGCCAAAACCUCACCUCAGUUAACACCAGUAAAAUCCCAGAAUUUCCCUUUAUAUUUUUGUUAAAAUGGACCAUUAAUGAGGCCAAAAGUCUGACACUGGCAGAUGACAAAAUACUUUUUCUUCUUUUCUCUUCUGUGUUUUCAAUUCCAGAAAGACAAAGAUAUAAUGAAUAACAUAAUCCUUCUAUAAAGAAGUAAAACAAAACUAUUGAGAUUAGAAAUGUCUGUGUGGAUCCUCUGGGAUGCAGAUGCCAAGUGAUGAGCUGGGACAUGCAGUAGGUUUGCUGGGAGAGCUGUCUGUG